rnacentral:rRNA from 1 species
CAAAAAGCUAAAGAGGGUGUACGGUGAAUGCCUAGGGACAAGUUGCCGAAGAAGGACGCGCAAGCGGCGAAACGCCUCGGGGAGCUGCACGAAAGCUGUGAUCCGAGGGUGUCCGAAUGGGGAAACCCCGCGUGGGUAAUGCCACGUGACCCGCAUCUGAAUACAUAGGGUGCGAGGAGGGAACCUGGUGAACUGAAACAUCUAAGUAACCAGAGGAAAAGAAAUCGAAGAGAUUCCGUAAGUAGCGGCGAGCGAACGCGGAAGAGCCUAAACCAUGGAGCUUGCUCUAUGGGGUCGUGGGGCGGCUAACCACUCUUUCGAAUCGAGCUCCAGUCAAAUGGAGUUGGAUUCGCAGGAGUGGCCACAGGAGUUUGACUAAGAAGUGAGUGGAACGGAUUGGAAAGUCCGGCCAUAGAGGGUGAUAGCCCCGUACUCAAAACAACUUAGUUCGAAUUCUGUCGUACCCGAGUAGCGCGGAACACGAGGAACUCCGCGUGAAUCUGUCCGGACCACCGGAUAAGGCUAAAUACGACUUGUCACCGAUAGUGCAUCCAGUACCGUGAGGGAAAGGUGAAAAGCACCCCGGGUAGGGGAGUGAAAUAGAUCCUGAAACCGUACGACCCACAAACAGUCGGAGCACCAUGUCCGGAGCAAUCCGGUCAAGUGUUACGGCGUACCUUUUGCAGAAUGAGCCUGCGAGUUGUUGGUGUUGGCAAGGUUAAGGCGUUCAGCGCCGGAGCCGGAGGGAAACCGAGUCCGAACAGGGCAUCAAGUCAGCAUCAGCAGACCCGAAACCACGUGAUCUAGCCAUGGUCAGGCUGAAGUGAUGGUAACACCUCAUGGAGGGCCGAACUCAUUGACGU